rfam:Candidatus Yonathbacteria bacterium RIFCSPLOWO2_01_FTLL_47_33b rifcsplowo2_01_scaffold_20930, whole genome shotgun sequence.
CAGUGAGGAUGUUGGCUUAGAAGCAGCCAUCAUUUAAAGAAAGCGUAACAGCUCACUCACUAAGAGACUCUGCACCGAAGAUAAUCGGGGCUAAGCAUAGUACCGAAACUGAGGGUUUCAUCGUCUUUCGAGAUGAUGGAGCGGUAGGAGAGUGUUCUUGUCUGCACUGAAGGAGAAGCGUGAGCAACUCUGGAGCGUCAAGAAGUAAGAAUGUUGGCACAAGUAACCGCAAUGUGGGUGAGAUCCCCACACGCCGUAAGACUAAGGUUUCCUUUGCGAUGUUGAUCAGCGAAGGGUUAGUCGGGCCUAAGGUGAUGGCGAAAGCCGGAGCCGAUGGACACAGGGUUAAUAUUCCCUGACUUCUUUUCCGUGCGAUGGAGUGACGAAGGCUAGUAUGUUUCGCGCAUUAUUGGAUUUGCGUCUGUGUCAUAAGGGUGGUUCUUAGGUAAAUCCGGGAACCUGGUUUUAAUACCGCCUCCAAGUGAAGCAGAAAUCGUUAGGUUCGCCUAAUGGGAUGAGACAAAGCAGCUUUCCGAGAAAAGCUUCUAAGCAUAACGGAAAAGAAACCGUACCGAAAACCGACACAGGUGGUCGAGUCGAGUAGACUAAGGCGAACGAGUGAAUGCUUCUCAAGGAACUCGGCAAAAAAGCAGCCGUAACUUCGGGAUAAGGCUUGCCUCCACCACUUUGCAUUUAAAGUGGGGAGGUCUGAGAAUUGAGAAAAGGGUGCUGUUCUUUUAAUAAUUUUCGUAACGAAAUUUAUGUUUUUCGUGCGAGACGAAGAGAAAAAUGUGAAGCAUAUAGGUAUAUGCUGAACGUUUUUCUCGAAGUCGCAGCAGAAAAACAGAAAUUGCAGUAAGAAAUUAUUAAAGAAUAGUGCCAUAUCGAGAGACAAACCGUACGUAACAACAGAGCUGUCGUUACGUACAAAAAAUGUUGUUCAAACUUUCUUGGACUCAACUACUUUGAAAAUAAAGUGGUGGAGGCCGCAGCGAAAGAUUCCCUGGCAACUGUUUACCAAAAACACAGCUCCAUGCGAACUCGUAAGAGGAUGUAUAUGGGGUGACGCCUGACCAAUGCCAGAAGGUUAAAUAUCGGUGGUGACUCCGCAAGGAUGAGCUGGCUGAUAUAAGCCCUGGUGAAUGUCGGCCGUAACUAUAACGGUCCUAAGGUAGCGUAAUUCCUUGUCUGGUAAGUUCAGACGUGCACGAAUGGCGUAAUGACUGGGGAACUGUCUCGAGAAGCAGCUCGGUGAAAAUACAAUACCGGUGAAGAUGCCGGUUACCUGCAGUUAGACGAAAAGACCCCGUGAGCUUUACUAUAGCUUGAUAUUGAAUGUGUUUUGUGUAUGCGUAGCAUAGGUGGGAGGCUUUGAAGGAUAGAUCUCGGUUUAUCUGGAGCCGCCAGUGAAAUACCACCCUUACUCGGGGCGCAUUCUAACCUAUACGGAAAAAACGUAGGGGGACAGUAUCUGGCAGGUAGUUUGAGUGGGGCGCUCUCCUCCUAAAAAGUAACGGAGGAGUCUAUUAAGGUCCUCUAGGUGCGAAUGGAAACCGUACCGAUAGCGUAAUGGCAAAAGAGGGCUUAACUGCAAGACGGGCAUGUCGAGCAGAUGCGAAAGCAGAGCAUAGUGAACCGACGAUUCGCUUUAGACGCGGUCGAAGAUUAACGGAUAAAAGCUACCACGGGGAUAACAGGCUAGUUCCGCCCAAGAGUUCAUAUCGACGGCGGAGUUCGGCACCUCGAUGUCGGCUCAUCUUAUCCUGGAGGUGGAGAAGCUUCCAAGGGUUUGGCUGUUCGCCAAUUAAAAAGAUACGUGAGCUGGGUUCAAACCGUAGAGGAGUGAAUUACAAAGAUUAGUGAGAUUGUUUUCAUCUUUGUAAUUGACUUCUCUUAGUUUGAACCCGAGGAGUUAAGACUAAACUUAACAAAAAGACAUUGAUCACGGCGGCUCUGUACAGCGAUGUAUAGAGACAAGCUGACUAAUAUCGGGAAAAUCUUAAACAGAUUAUUAACUUCACAGAGGAGGAAGGGUCAGGCAUGACCCAAAGAGUCCUUAGGUGUUCGGGUGUAAACGUCCGAGCGCUGAGUAAGAAGAGGGGUCGCACAAACUCGAGUGGUGUGCGGCACCCUCAACUUAUUUCUUCUGUGAAGUUAAUAAUAUGAGAGACAAUUCCGAGGGAAGCAAUGGAUGACAUUGUACCCGUAGAGACUAAACGUCAGCACUCUUAUUAAAAAUAAGAAGAAGCUAUAGUCCGAUCCCUCUCGUAAGAGAGGUUCAUACAGGUUGGGACCAAGGUAUGAUGUAAAACAUGAGUGCGUGAGACAGGUUGGUCUCCUAUCUACUGCAGGCGUUGAAUUUUGAGGGGAUUUGCUCCUAGUACGAGAGGACCGGAGUGAACUGACCUCUGGUGUGGCUGCUGUCCUGCCAAGGGCAUCGCAGCGUAGCUAUGUCGGGAAUAGAUAACCUCUGAAAGCAUCUAAGAGGGAAACUAACCCCAAGAUCAGAAUUCGUUUGAGGCCCGUAGGAGAUGACUACGUUGAUAGGCUCUAGGUGUAAGGCGAGUAAUCGUUUCAGCCGAGGAGUACUAAUACGCCGAUUCUUACUGGGAA